rnacentral:rRNA from 1 species
UAGGGAAUCUUCCGCAAUGGACGCAAGUCUGACGGAGCAACGCCGCGUGAGUGAAGAAGGAUUUCGGUUCGUAAAACUCUGUUGUUAGAGAAGAACAGCGCAUAGAGUAACUGUUAUGCGUGUGACGGUAUCUAACCAGAAAGCCACGGCUAACUACGUGCCAGCAGCCGCGGUAAUACGUAGGUCCCGAGCGUUGUCCGGAUUUAUUGGGCGUAAAGCGAGCGCAGGCGGUUAGAUAAGUCUGAAGUUAAAGGCAGUGGCUCAACCAUUGUAGGCUUUGGAAACUGUUUAACUUGAGUGCAGAAGGGGAGAGUGGAAUUCCAUGUGUAGCGGUGAAAUGCGUAGAUAUAUGGAGGAACACCGGUGGCAAAAGCGGCUCUCUGGUCUGUAACUGACGCUGAGGCUCGAAAGCGUGGGGAGCGAACAGG